rnacentral:rRNA from 1 species
UACGUAGGGUCCGAGCGUUGUCCGGAAUUAUUGGGCGUAAAGGGCUCGUAGGCGGUGUGUCGCGUCGGCCGUGAAAACCUGCAGCUUAACUGUGGGCUUGCGGUCGAUACGGGCAUCACUGGAGUUCGGCAGGGGAGACUGGAAUUCCUGGUGUAGCGGUGAAAUGCGCAGAUAUCAGGAGGAACACCGGUGGCGAAGGCGGUUCUCUGGGCAUGAUCUGACGCUGAGGAGCGAAAGUGUGGGGAGCGAACAGG